rnacentral:tmRNA from 1 species
GGGGAUGAUCGGUUUCGACAUCGUCUGCGAGAUUACGAGAAGCGGGUCGAGGAUGCAGGGUUAUCUCGUUAACGACCUCUGCAAAAUAUAAGUGCCAAUUCCAACAGCACUGUCUCCGCUAAGGCCCAGGUCGCUCUCGCGGCCUAGUCGUUCUUAGCGACUCAAGAGACCGUCAGCCCGGGAAUGCUCUCUACCCGGAUCCUGGCGUCAGCUAGAGAGAUUGCUUCUACGUAUCGUCAUGGGACGUAGAGGGACUCAAACCGUGACUGGGUUCGUCGGAUCAGCUGCCAAUGGCAAGUUCCGGAACCGAGUAAAGCGUCUUCAUUGGAUACGCCCGUAGAAGGCGUAUGACCACAGCGAUGGACGGGGGUUCAAUUCCCCCCAUCUCCACAC